CUGGAUUAUAUGCUAUCCUUAACAUACAGGGCCACCCCUCCCCCUUUCUUGCCUUCCCUGUCUUUUCUAUAUAAAGAGUACCCUGCUAUUGCUAUGUCCCAGUCAUUUUUCUCAUUAUACCAUGUCUCAGUAACAGUGACUAAAUCUGCAUUGUCAGUUUCCAUUAUUGCCACAAGUUCAUGGAUCUUAUUCCCUAAACUGCGAGCAUUUGUAGAUAUGAGAGAGAAAGAAUAAAAAUAAGGGCUGCGCCAAGUAAAACUGGGUAUAAAACGAAUAGUCCGGAUAAGAUAAAUAAAUAAAAAGAGAAAGUCUUAUCUAGA